rnacentral:rRNA from 1 species
CAAGUCGAGCGAUGAGAUCCCUUCGGGGAAGGAUUAGCGGCGAACGGUGAGGAACACGUGAGGAAUCUGCCUUCAACACUGGGAUAACUCCGGGAAACCGGGGCUAAUACCGGAUACGAGGCCUGCAGGCAUCUGCGGGUCUGGAAAGUUUUUCGGUUGAAGAUGACCUCGCGGCCUAUCAGUUUGUUGGUGAGGUAACGGCUCACCAAGACUACGAUGUCUAGGGGAUCUGAGAGGAUGACCCCCCACACUGGUACUGAGACACGGACCAGACUCC